ACAAAAUGUACACCAAAAUAAGUCACCUUGUGGAACAAGUGAUUCGCGGUGAGACAGGUAGUUCACAAUCUGCCAAAAGGGCUUACAGCCACGUACCUGCUUUCAAAUGCUAAUAUUUCAGACAACUUGAAGCCUGAAGCUGAAGUUAAGAUUAUUGGACCUGCUGGAAAAGAAAUAUUCAUGCCAAAGGAUCCCACUGCUACAGUAAUACCGAUAAUUGUUGCCCACUGCUAGCUCCUUUAGUUGUUACCAUCAGGCACUUCUGCACACUUCCCUUCAAUAUGACUGAGCAGACUUGGAUCUUGUCAUCUUGCAGCUUGCCACUGGAGGA